AGGCCUGAACAAGAACUCCAAAAGCCGCAAAGAUAAAACUUCUGACCCAGAAGAAGAACAUGAAAGCAUUCCUGGAAUUUUUGCCAGUGUUUUCUCUUGCCCAGCGCUAUUAGUGGGGCCAAGUGCUCUCUCAUUCGGCAUUAAGAAAAAAAUAAUGCUCACCCGUCCAUCUUUGUCCACGCCUGCUAUCUGGCCCGUGGCGAUGCGGAUCUUGUCGGGGUGGAUGGCGAGGCUUUGAGGCGAGAGAAGCAGCUUUAUUGGACGUCUUUCGGCAGGCGCGGCAAGGCGGCGUUGAACAGGACCACCACCGAGGCGAUGAAGUACACGAUCUCACCGGUGGGCAGCAGGUAGACGUUUGCUCGACAUUCUCUGCCACGAUAGCCAUACCUGAAGGGGGCGUGGCGGUCAAGGAAGUAACCAGCGGGGACUUGGAAGAACGCCUAUCCAUCAGUACCUGUCCAUUUUCGUCAUGGCGAUUAAUGAUGGCCACUAACACAAAUCUCCGCUGACUUGUACUCUCGACAAAAGUGGCUUGCAGCUAACUGCAAGUUCAUACACAGUGUGGAGCCGCUCCAACAAGUCCACCAUUGCAGAAAAUAAACUACAUUGUUUCGUAUGUGAAGCAAACUUUUUCCACUGAGGGCCGCAUACUGAAAAAUAAAAACAUGCAAGGGUCA